rnacentral:rRNA from 1 species
GCGGCAGGCCUAACACAUGCAAGUCGAGCGCUACCUUCGGGUGGAGCGGCGGACGGGUUAGUAACGCGUGGGAAUAUACCCAGUAGCGGGGGAUAAGCCAGAGAAAUUUGGUCUAAUACCGCAUACGCCCUUCGGGGGAAAGCAGGGGAUCUUCGGACCUUGCACUAUUGGAUGAGCCUGCGUGAGAUUAGCUAGUUGGUGAGGUAAUGGCUCACCAAGGCGACGAUCUCUAGCUGGUCUGAGAGGAUGAUC